UACGAAGGGUGCAAGCGUUACUCGGAAUUACUGGGCGUAAAGCGUGCGUAGGUGGUUUGUUGAGUCUGAUGUGAAAGCCCUGGGCUCAACCUGGGAAUUGCAUUGGAUACUGGCAGUCUAGAGUGCGGUAGAGGGUAGCGGAAUUCCCGGUGUAGCAGUGAAAUGCGUAGAUAUCGGGAGGAACAUCCGUGGCGAAGGCGGCUACCUGGACCAGCACUGACACUGAGGCACGAAAGCGUGGAGAGCAAACAGG
rnacentral:rRNA from 1 species